rnacentral:rRNA from 1 species
GGCGUAGGAGGCGAGCGUUGUCCGGAUUCAUUGGGCGUAAAGAGCACGCAGGCGGUUUGGCAAGUCGGAUGUGAAAACCCGGAGCUCAACUCCGGACCUGCAUCCGAAACUGCCCGACUAGAGGUAGGUAGGGGAGAUCGGAAUUCCUGGUGUAGCGGUGAAAUGCGCAGAUAUCAGGAGGAACACCGGUGGCGAAGGCGGAUCUCUGGGCCUUACCUGACGCUCAGGUGCGAAAGCUAGGGGAGCGAACAGG